rnacentral:rRNA from 1 species
CGAAGCGUGCUGUUGGAGUGCACGUCCAAGCAGUGAGAUUGAGUGUUAGGCAAAUCCGGCACUCUUAAGAUUGAGCUGUGAUGGGGAGAGGAACUUGUUCCUCGAGUCGUUGAUUUCACACUGCCGAGAAAAGCCUCUAGCUAGAAUAACGGUGCCCGUACCGCAAACCGACACAGGUAGUCAAGAUGAGAAUUCUAAGGUGAGCGAGCGAACUCUCGUUAAGGAACUCGGCAAAAUGACCCCGUAACUUCGGGAGAAGGGGUGCUCUUUGAGGUUCACGCUUCGAAGAGCCGCAGUGAAUAGGCCCAAGCGACUGUUUAUCAAAAACACAGGUCUCUGCUAAACCGUAAGGUGACGUAUAGGGGCUGACGCCUGCCCGGUGCUGGAAGGUUAAGAGGAGUGGUUAGCGCAAGCGAAGCUACGAAUCGAAGCCCCAGUAAACGGCGGCCGUAACUAUAACGGUCCUAAGGUAGCGAAAUUCCUUGUCGGGUAAGUUCCGACCCGCACGAAAGGCGUAACGAUUUGGGCACUGUCUCAACGAGAGACUCGGUGAAAUCAUAGUACCGGUGAAGAUGCCGGUUACCCGCGACAGGACGGAAAGACC